rnacentral:rRNA from 1 species
GAUUAACGCUAGCGGCAGGCAUAAUACAUGCAAGUUGAACGGGAUUAGUUUAGCAAUAGACUAUGAGAGUGGCGCACGGGUGCGUAACACGUAUGCAACCUGCCCUUGACUGGAGGAUAGCCUCUCGAAAGAGAGAUUAAUAUUCCAUAACAUAUAGGUUAAGCAUUUAAUUUAUAUCAAAGCUCCGGCGGUCAAGGAUGGGCAUGCGGUUGAUUAGCUAGUUGGUGAGGUAACGGCUCACCAAGGCGACGAUCAAUAGGGGGUCUGAGAGGAUGUCCCCCCACACUGGUACUGAGACACGGACCAGACUCCUACGGGAGGCAGCAGUAGGGAAUAUUGGUCAAUGGAGGCAACUCUGAACCAGCCAUGCCGCGUGCAGGAAGACUGCCCUAUGGGUUGUAAACUGCUUUUGUACGGGAAGAAAUGUUGCUACGUGUAGCAAUUUGACGGUACCGUAAGAAUAAGGAUCGGCUAACUUCGUG